GAAAAGAGAAAGAAAGGGAAGGAGAAGAGAGAAAAGAAAAAGAAAGAGAAGGAAUUGCUGAAUUAUUAUUCGGAAUUUGGAUGUUUUUUCCUGCUCUUUUUGUUGAAUUAUUUCACAAUUCUUCUUCCUCUCAUUCUC
rnacentral:RNase_P_RNA from 13 species